GCCACUGGCCUGCUGGUUCUUGACUGUGGUUGUACUGUGCUUGCAUACUGCAGGCCAUUGGAAAGUGCUGGGAUUACAGGCAUGAGCCACUGCACAUGGCCAGCAUGAUGUUUAUUAACAAAUACUUCAGUGUGUAUUUCCCAGAAAGCAAGAAUAUCCUCUUACAUAUCCAUAAUAUAAUGAUCAAAAUCCAGAAGUUAAC
rnacentral:lncRNA from 1 species